GCCAUUAAGAAGAAGAAGAAGCAGCAGCGCAGCGAUGCUUUGAACAAAGAUCUCUGACCACGAGGCUGGCGGCGUGGAUUGAAUCCAAACCGGUCAGAACCGGUUUGGAUCGCAGACUGAUGAGUUUCAGACUGUCUGACUCCGGUUCCGAUCCAGUUCCGGUCUGGCGGGGAGGCUUCCACACGAUUUCUUCUGACUUUUCUCUGCUGGUUCCGGGGGGCAGUGACUGAAGUACCGCAGGAUGCUAACUGCUAGCUAAGGCCAGCUACAUCAACUGGACCGGGCCGAUGUGUCGGAACCACCCGGUCCUGGGUUCUUCUCCAGGUGAGUCUGCGCGUGCAGACAGGAUCUGCGAGGGGCCGGGUCAGCGGCGAGCACAGAAAGCAAGGCUCAGCCUGAUUUACAUCUGGAGCUCCAGCGCCUCCUGCUGGCUGGAGGUUUCCUGGGUUAAACGGCAGCAGAUAGAAGAACUGAUUCUGUCCCUAAAAUAGCAACAAUAAACUGAAGCAAAUCAUGUGACCCUGGGAGCCAAUAGGAGGCCAGCUUGAGGGCUCAGCUGAUGACUCUCUUCCCCCAGAUUGGCUCCACUUCCAGAAUCAGACCGAACCGGGUCAGCAGUUCUGUUCUACUUUGAUGAUUCUGGAGCUGCUGGUCCGAUCUCCUGAAACAUUUUAAUGAAACCUAAAAAGCUUUCCUUCCAUUAAUAAGAGUUGAAGCUCGGUUCUGUUAGAACCCUGGUCCUGGAAACGUGUUCUGAUUGGUUCUGUGACGUCACGUUUUUUGAAUAAACAUUUAUGAAAUCUCCCA